GGGCCCGUAGCUCAAUUGGAUAGAGCACUGGCCUUCUAAGCCAGGUGUUGUGGGUUCGAGUCCCAUCGGGCCCG
rnacentral:tRNA from 1 species